CUACCUUUAAAGCUUGAACUUAUCUGCAACAUUUUAACAAACACGUCAUAUGCUACUUUAACCUCAUCCCCCCUCAAAUCGUAAUCCCCUUCUAUCUAGCUAGAAAAAUCAUCCUCAUCACUGUUGACAAUGAGUUCAUGACUUCCAGUUACUAUAAUCCCAUGAACAAACUCGCAAUUCUCAGAGACGAGUGAUUCGAGACUCCAGAAGGCAAGAAAAUAACUUCAGAUAAAGGGAAAUAUCGACCCCAAUUCUCAUUCACAAGCUCUCUGUCUAAUUUCCUCAUAAACAAAUUGUCAUGGCAUUGGUUAGACCAAGUAUAAUGCAUACCGGAACACCAAAGAUCAUCAAGUUUAGAUUACUGUAUACAAGUCCUUAAGCUGUCCAUGUACCCUGCCCAAGAAGGAGAACCUCCUAGUCUGCCCGACUGAAAUCUUAUAAAACUGAAGUCACCUGAUAGAAUUUGAGACAGUCCUACCGACACAAUGGAUUGAGAUUUUAAGUCUUCCCUUAGAGGAUCUCUAACAACAACAUUAUCAGCCCCGUAAAUGAAACCGGCCAUAAAUUUCCAUUUGUGAUCAUUAAAAAAAACUAAAAUUGCUCAGUAAAGUUUAACGGUAGCAUAUGAAUAUGAGCAGAUUCACUAUGGAUUCAAGCAGUAUAAUU
rnacentral:lncRNA from 1 species